rnacentral:misc_RNA from 1 species
AAUUAUGGUAUGGAUAGAUAAUAUGUACAUUUUGGUCUUGGCUGCUGUCAUUUACUAUUGAGUGGGACAUUUGGCUAUUAUUGUGGUGAAUUUACGCAACCUCGAGUCUACAGAUGGUAUAAUUGUUGUUUCCCACCGAAUUGCAAACAUGCCUAUGGGCAAAAACAAGCUGAAUUUGACGAUUACGUGCGCCGAACCGUCACAGGAUUCUGCGGAGAAGCAGAAUGGAGCUGCAAACUUGGAAGCAUUACAACAGAAGCUGAAGGAAUUGGAUAUCGAUGACCAGCAGCGAGAAAGACUCGAGCUCUUCCUGACCCAGAAACAGAAGGUCGGAGAGCUUGUGGAAGAAGACUUUGAAAAGCUGGGAGAGCUUGGUGCAGGAAAUGGAGGAGUUGUUACCAGAGUCCGACAUAAACCCACUGCCUUGAUCAUGGCCCGAAAACUCAUUCACUUGGAAAUCAAACCUGCUGUUCGGAACCAGAUUAUCCGAGAGCUGAAAGUUCUGCACGAGUGUAACUCGCCAUACAUUGUUGGUUUCUACGGAGCAUUUUACAGUGACGGGGAGAUCAGCAUCUGCAUGGAGUAUAUGGAUGGAGGCUCGCUGGACCUUAUUUUAAAGAGAGCAGGAAGAAUACCAGAACCAAUAUUAGCUGUGAUAAACAACGCAGUGUUAAAAGGACUGUGUUAUUUACGAGAGAAACACCAGAUUAUACACAGAGAUGUGAAACCAUCAAAUAUUUUGGUGAACUCGAGAGGAGAGAUAAAAAUCUGUGAUUUUGGCGUCAGUGGGCAGCUGAUCGAUUCAAUGGCAAACUCUUUUGUUGGUACAAGAUCGUAUAUGGCACCUGAGAGGUUGCAGGGCACACACUACUCAGUUCAGUCGGAUAUCUGGAGUCUAGGAUUAUCACUCAUCGAGAUGUCGAUUGGUCGCUACCCAAUUCCACCUCCUGAUCCAAAUGAUUUGAGCAGCAUAUUUGGUGAAAACUGCAUGGAGGAACAUAUUGAAGCUGCAAGAACAGGGAGACAUCUGCAAGGAAGCAGAAAUAAUUUUGUGUGCCUGCCCGGUGCGGAUGGACCCCGACCCAUGGCCAUAUUUGAGCUUUUAGAUUACAUUGUAAAUGAGUACCAAAUUUAACAAGGACUGGCGAAUGAUCGCUACAAAACGGAGUGAGUACAUCAACAUUCGUCGCAUAUCGAGAAGAAAAAACGAAAAUUAGAUCAAGAGUGCUUUUGUCACCUCCAUCUCUUCCUAAAGGAAAGUUUUCUGUUGAGUUUGAAGAUUUUGUUGAAAGAUGCCUCAAGAAGAAUCCCAAUGACAGAGCAGAUUUGCAGUCAUUA